rnacentral:rRNA from 1 species
GAUGAACGCUGGCGGCAUGCCUAAUACAUGCAAGUCGAGCGAACAGACGAGGAGCUUGCUCCGCUGACGUUAGCGGCGGACGGGUGAGUAACACGUGGAUAACCUACCUAUAAGACUGGGAUAACUUCGGGAAACCGGAGAUAAUACCGGAUAAGAUAUUGAACCGCAUGGUUCAAUAGUGAAAGACGGUUUUGCUGUCACUUAUAGAUGGAUCCGCGCCGCAUUAGCUAGUUGGUAAGGUAACGGCUUACCAAGGCGACGAUGCGUAGCUGACCUGAGAGGGUGAUCGGCCACACUGGAACUGAGACACGGUCCAGACUCCUACGGGAGGCAGCAGUAGGGAAUCUUCCGCAAUGGGCGAAAGCCUGACGGAGCAACGCCGCGUGAGUGAUGAAGGUCUUCGGAUCGUAAAACUCUGUUAGUAGGGAAGAAGAACUGUGUAAGUAACUAUGCACGUCUUGACGGUACCUACUCAGAAAGCCACGGCUAACUACGUG